ACGGCCGUUCAACGGAUGGCCCGCUGAAAACUGUGGUGACCUCCUCCUGUCCAGUGGGGACCUUUCUUUCUCAACGAUGGGCUACUACAACUCACGUCUUUUGGCAGCCUUGGGAAAAGAUGAGGCCAAGAAAUGAGUCAGUAGAGAGCAAAAAACCCAAAAUGUUCAGACCAUCCUCGGAGACGCCAUUUAGGACAAGAAGUCCGAGUCACUUACGAAAGGUUGGUUAGCAAAAGUACAGGAAUUUUUCAGACACUGCCAAACUGCCUGAAAUAACUAAUCCUCGAUCGCCUCAACAUCAUGACGGUUCGGGGGUCUUGGAGAUCCAAACAACACUUCACUGUCCAGAACAGCUCUUAGGUGCACCAAGAAUGGAAUGUCCACUCACAGCGACGCCAUGAAUACCCAGUAUGCCCAGUGACUAUCGAAUCUGAUGCUGACUGAUGAAAAUGGCUUUUCCCGAUUA